rnacentral:rRNA from 1 species
GCGUCUUAAGCAUGCAAGUCAAACGGAAUGUAGCAAUACAUUUAGUGGCGAACGGGUGAGUAACGCGUGGAUGAUCUACCUAUGAGAUGGGGAUAACUACUAGAAAUAGUAGCUAAUACCGAAUAAGGUCAAUUAAUUUGUUAAUUGAUGAAAGGAAGCCUUUAAAGCUUCGCUUGUAGAUGAGUCUGCGUCUUAUUAGUUAGUUGGUGGGGUAAAUGCCUACCAAGACGAUGAUAAGUAACCGGCCUGAGAGGGUGAACGGUCACACUGGAACUGAGAUACGGUCCAGACUCCUACGGGAGGCAGCAGCUAAGAAUCUUCCGCAAUGGGCGAAAGCCUGACGGAGCGACACUGCGUGAAUGAAGAAGGUCGAAAGAUUGUAAAAUUCUUUUAUAAAUGAGGAAUAAGCUUUGUAGGAAAUGACAAAGCGAUGACGUUAAUUUAUGAAUAAGCCCCGGCUAAUUACGUGCCAGCAGCCGCGGUAAUACGUAAGGGGCGAGCGUUGUUCGGGAUUAUUGGGCGUAAAGGGUGAGUAGGCGGAUAUAUAAGUCUAUGCAUAAAAUACCACAGCUCAACUGUGGAGCUAUGUUGGAAACUAUAUGUCUAGAGUCUGAUAGAGGAAGUUAGAAUUUCUGGUGUAAGGGUGGAAUCUGUUGAUAUCAGGAAGAAUACCGGAGGCGAAGGCGAACUUCUGGGUCAAGACUGACGCUGAGUCACGAAAGCGUAGGGAGCAAACAGGAUUAGAUACCCUGGUAGUCUACGCUGUAAACGAUGCACACUUGGUGUUAACUAAAAGUUAGUACCGAAGCUAACGUG